GUUGGGCACUCUAUGCAGACUGCCCGGGUUAACCGGGAGGAAGGUGGGGACGACGUCAAGUCAUCAUGGCCCUUACACCUAGGGCUACACACGUACUACAAUGGCACGCACAAAGGGCAGCGAUACCGUGAGGUGGAGCCAAUCCCAAAAAACGUGUCCCAGUCCGGAUUGCAGUCUGCAACUCGACUGCAUGAAGUCGGAAUCGCUAGUAAUUCGAGGUCAGCAUACUCGGGUGAAUGCGUUCCCGGGCCUUGUACACACCGCCCGUCACACCACGAAAGUCGGUUUUACCCGAAGCCGGUGAGCCAACUAGCAAUAGAGGCAGCCGUCUACGGUAGGGCCGAUGAUUGGGGUGAAGUCGUAACAAGGUAGCCGUAGGGGAACCUGCGGCUGGAUCACCUCCUUUAAGG
rnacentral:rRNA from 1 species